rnacentral:rRNA from 1 species
AGUGGCGUACGGGUGAGUAACACGUGGGUAAUCUACCUCUGAGUGGGGAAUAACCCUGGGAAACCGGGGCUAAUACCGCAUAAUCUCGAGAGAGGAAAGCAGCAAUGCGCUGAGAGAGGAGCCCGCGGCCGAUUAGCUAGUUGGUAGGGUAAGAGCCUACCAAGGCAAAGAUCGGUAGCCGGCCUGAGAGGGCACACGGCCACACUGGCACUGAAACACGGGCCAGACUCCUACGGGAGGCAGCAGUGGGGAAUCUUGCACAAUGGGGGAAACCCUGAUGCAGCGACGCCGCGUGAGCGAUGAAGCCCUUCGGGGUGUAAAGCUCUUUCGUCAGGGAAGAUGAUGACGGUACCUGGAGAAGCAGCUGCGGCUAACUACGUGCCAGCAGCCGCGGUAAUACGUAGGCAGCGAGCGUUGUUCGGAGUUACUGGGCGUAAAGGGUGUGUAGGCGGUUCUUUAAGUUUGGUGUGAAAUCUCCCGGCUCAACCGGGAGGGUGCGCCGAAUACUGAGGGACUUGGAGUGCGGGAGAGGAAAGUGGAAUUCCUGGUGUAGCGGUGAAAUGCGUAGAUAUCAGGAGGAACACCGGUGGUGUAGACGGCUUUCUGGACCGUAACUGACGCUGAGACACGAAAGCGUGGGUAGCAAACAGGAUUAGAUACCCUGGUAGUCCACGCCCUAAACGAUGCAUAUUUGGUGUGGGUCAUUCAGUUGAUCCGUGCCGGAGCUAACGCGUUAAAUAUGCCGCCUGGGGAGUACAGUCGCAAGGCUGAAACUCAAAGGAAUUGACGGGGGCCCGCACAAGCGGUGGAGCAUGUGGUUCAAUUCGA